rnacentral:tRNA from 1 species
CAUUGAGAAGCUAUAGGACCCAGCGACAGCCUUUUAAGCUGUAGACAGGUGACUUCCAACCACCCUUAGUGA